rnacentral:snoRNA from 12 species
UUGUAAUGAUGUUGACCAAAUGUCUGACCUGAAAUAAGUAUGUAGACAAGUUAACACUGAAGAA